UCGGAUAUGGUGUAACGGCUAACAUUGCCGCCUCUCAUCUUUCGAGAGUCAGGUCCGCGGCAGCUCGGGGUUCGAUUCCCCGUAUCCGAA
rnacentral:tRNA from 1 species